CCGGACCUGGGGAGUACGGCCGCAAGGCUAAAACUACAAGGAAUUGACGGGGACCCGCACAAGCGGUGGAUGAUGUGGAUUAAUUCGAUGCAAACGCGAAAAACCUUACCUACCCUUGACAUGUCAGGAAUCCUGAAGAGAUUUGGGAGUGCUCGCAAGAGAGCCUGAACACAGGUGCUGCAUGGCUGUCGUCAGCUCGUGUCGUGAGAUGUUGGGUUAAGUCCCCGCAACGAGCGCAACCCUUGUCAUUAAUUGCCAUCAUUUAGUUGGGGCACUUUAAUGAGACUGCCGGUGACAAACCGGAGGAAGUGGGGAUGACGUCAAGUCCUCAUGGCCCUUAUGGGUAGGGCUUCACACGUCAUACAAUGGUCGGUCCAGAGGGUUGCCAACCCGCGAGGGGGAGCCAAUCUCAGAAAGCCGAUCGUAGUCCGGAUCGCAGUCUGCAACUCGACUGCGUGAAGUCGGAAUCGCUAGUAAUCGCGGAUCAGCAUGUCGCGGUGAAUACGUUCCCGGG
rnacentral:rRNA from 1 species